ensembl:lncRNA
AAAAAAUACAGUUUUAUAUCUUUGUUUGAAGCCUGAAAUGUGGCAAAAGGUCGCAAAGUUCAAGGGGGUUGAAUACUUUCGCAAGGCACUGUAUAUAAAUAUAUAAAAAUAUGUUUUCUGACACGUGAUCACUUUUAGAUAUGGUCAUUUUUAUAAAUUCAUUGAAUGUUUGAGAAUGAAGUAUAGUAAGGCAUUUGUGAAAAUUCUAUAAGAAUAUUGUCAGAGGACAGACUCAGUUUUUGAAAUUAUUUUUAUUGACUGUUCAACUCAACCUGAUCUUGGACAGUUUUUUUUUUAGUUUACCAGUGAUUUUGUGUGGCCUACCACUUCGCGGCUGAGCCGUUGUUGCUCCUAGACGUUUCCACUUCAAAAUACCACUUACAGUUGACCGGAGCAGAAAUUUGACAAACUGACUUAUUGGAAAGGUGUCAUCCUAUGACGGUGCCAUGUUGAAAGUCACUGAGCUCUACAGUAAAGCCAUUCUACUGCCAAUGAUUGUCUAUGGAGAUUUUAUACACCUGUCCGCAACGGGUGUGACUGAAAGAGCCGAACCCACUUAUUUGAAGGUGUCCAAAUACUUUUGUGUUAACGGUUAAGUCUUUGGAUAGUGGAUUUUGCAGAUUCCCUUGGCCUCCUGUUGGUUCACUUUUGUUCUUGCUGUGGUUUAUUUCUAGCCUUUUUUCUUUCAACGACAUGUUCAUUGACGAGCCUAACUUUUCUACCUUUGAAAGCCUCUGUAGAUUAACCUUCUGAUCUUUCUUUUUUGAUGUAAAUAAGGCGAACAAUGAUCUUUUUUCUAAUUUAAGAGUUGGCCUAGGCAUUGGUAAAAAAACCUAUGGAUCAUGUUUUUCUUUUUGUAAGUUUGUUUUUCAGCCAUUUUUGGAGUGACUUAUCUGUGGGCUAGUUUUUUCUUUUUUUGAGGAGAGAUUAAGAAAACACUGCUUCAAGACUUGCUUUGCAGUUACCCAUACUUUUCUCUUAUAAGGUCAACUAUGAAGUGAAAGUAUUUUUAAGGACACUUUCAUUGACAUUCUUAGGUGUACCUCUGACACCUGUUGCAUCACAAGGUAUGCAAGUAAAUGUGUGACAGAUGCGCAUUGCAGCUUUUUCUACUGUUUGCCAUUCAAACUUUAAAACAUGCAAACCGGUCUGGAAUGGUGUGCUUGUAUACAGUGUUUUGAUACCAGUUAUUCUAGAGCCUGACGGAUAUGGGAUUUUUGUAUCUAAUUUUAGAGGGGAAAUAUUCACAGAUAAUUGAUAUUGGGCCUAUAUUUUUAGGAUUUUAGCUGGAAUGAAACAUUUAAAAAUGUUUUCUGUAUGGAUUGUGAUUAAAAAGAUACUCAAAGAACAUUUAAUGUAAGCACCACAGAAAAAUUAGGAGCACCAGAAAGAUGCAGGAAAGAAAGUAAAUAAAAAAUGUACUCUAGUGAAAGGAAGAUAUACCGCCCUGAUUCCAGGAAACAACAUGAGCCUCUGAAGACUGAGCGGCCCCAUGCCAGAAUGAGGCUAGCAUUCCAUUUGUAGGGCUGUAGCCACUGGUAGUUGUCACUUGCAAGAUACAACAUUUUACGCUGGCACUGUGCUGCCACUCGCCCCUAAGUGUUGCUUCAGUGAAUGGUCCUUGCUAUCCGGGAUCCGUGAGACAACGCUACCGCAUAGUUUUGAAACGCCAUGUAAACACUGAGAAUGUAAAGCAACUUUUUUUUGUCUACCUGGCAUUUUCUUUGUUGGACUUUUUGUCACCUUUUUUAGACAAAUGAGUGAAUUGUCUUUAUUUAAAAAAAAAUUUUUUUUGUCAUUUUGACUCUAAUCCAAGUGCUUACAGUUUCGUGGAUGUUUUUGUGAUAUUCAUUUUUCUGAGCAGAUGUUAGUUUCAGCCAUUUUUGGAGGUUGAUUUAUUUAGUUUAUUUUUGCUUUUUUAUCCUGGGAGGAUUAACACAUUUUUUGAAGAAGUCUUCAUACUUCUCCCAUUUGUGGACUGCCUCAAAGGAGUUUCUUUCUGGCAUACUUUGGAGUGUCUUUGGAACAAAGGGUGCUGAGUCUCUGUGUCAACCGGCUGAGCAUGCGCCCCAAAAGCAGGAUGGUCUUUCUGUCCUCUCUGCCAUGUUUGAUGGAAUUCUACAGAAAUGAACGUGGUACCUGCAGGCGUUUGGAAAUGGCUCCCAAGGAUGAACCAGACUUCUGGAGGUCUACACUUUUUUUUUCUUUGAUGAUUUCUUUUGAUUUUCCCAUGAUGUCAAGCAAAGAGGCACUGAGUUUGAAGACUACCAUGGUGGUUUCCAGCUUCAGCCAGACUGGGACAGACGGGGAAGGGGAAACAAGUGAACAGAACAGAUAUUCGCCAGGACAAUCGCAGAAUGGUCACCAUGGAAACAUACCACCUGUACCAGUUCAGGACAUGAGAUCGCCACGUUGACCAUCUUUAAGACGAAACAGUCUCUGGGUAUCAGUAUCUCAGGUGGGAUGGAGAAUGAGAUGUUUCCAGGAGGAGCUGCCUCUACCAGUGACGUUCUGAUGAAACAUGGCUCACUGGAGUGACGCUAUCCGAGGCGGUGCAGCCAACGGGUAUCUCCACGCAUCGCGCCGACAGAGACAAACAUCUUUCUGGCGUGGUAUGAGCUGGUUUCAGUGGACGGUGAGUCUCUGCAGCGUGUGACCCAUCAGCAUGCAGUGUUCAGCAACAAGGCCAAAGACCCUGUGGUGUUUGUCAAGAUCCUCAAGGGACCAGCCGACUUGCAUCAGAGGAGUCCACUGUCAGGCUUACACAAGUACUACACACAGUAUUUUUAUUGAACCUUUAUUGAACUAGGAAAGUCAUUUUAAGGACAAAUUAUUUUUUACAAUGACGGCCUACACCGGCCAAACCCGGACGACGCUGGGCCAAUUGUGCGCCGUCCUAUGGGGACUCGCAAUCACAACCAUAUGUGAUGCAUUCUGGAUUCGAACCAGACUGUAGUGACGCCUCUUGCACUGAGAUGUAGUGCCUUAGACUGCUGCGCCACUCGAGAGCUCAGUACUGCUGGCCUGUCUACAAGAAUGCUCUGAGGUGCAGUUCACCCAUCCACUGGAAAUGGAAAUGAUUUGAAAUGGUUCCCCUGACGCAGAUGGUUCGCUCCAGCUAGGCUGCAAUGGAAGGGAAUGGUCUAUUCCCAGAGGAGAGGAGCAUGGGUACCUCGGGACCAAUAAGCAUGGGUACCUUACCUGGGACCAAUAAGCUUGCUUCUCCUCUAGGGCAAAAAGGUUAAUGGUUGUUUGCAUAGCAAACAGGAAAUACUGCGAAAUUAAAAUGUUUUUUUUUUACAGAUGUGGGACUACUGUGCUUGCUUUGUGUAUAACAAUAAUGUGAUAAAUACUAUUUAUCAAAGAUGAACUUGAUUAUAUGUAUCCUUUUUCUUAUAUGAACUUAACAUUUUGGAGAAAACACCCCUAAGAAUAAAAAUGUUAUCUAGCAUUGUCAGGAGUCAGCAGCUAGCUAUCCAUAUUAGCAUAUGUAUCAUCAAUGGACG